rfam:Biomphalaria glabrata isolate BB02 unplaced genomic scaffold LGTN_random_Scaffold313, whole genome shotgun sequence.
GCGCAUGUAACAUACUUCUUUGCUAUCCCAUAUUACAAUCAAGCUAUGGAAUGUAAAGAAGUAUGUAUCGUACGU